GGGCUGCCUGGUGAGGAUGUUUGGGCUGCCUGGUGAGGAUGUUUGGGCUGCCUGGUGAGGAUGCUUGGGCUGCCUGGUGAGGAUGCUUGGGCUGGCUGCAGAUCCAUCGCUGAGUUAUGUGGAAACCGCCUUGGGAUAAAUGGAAGAGUUGAAGCAAGAAAAUAGCAUGAAAAGGCCACCAUGGAAUAUCUGUUUUUCAUCAUAUCAGUUUGGGCAAGCAGAUUGAACUCAAGGAUUGUUUUCUCUGAGUUGCUUUGGUUUGUAAAGAGGACUUUUUGGAAAGGACUUUGGGAAGCUCUCUGCCAGCUCUGUUUUCUGUUAUUUUUCUAUACGUACAUCAGUUCUGUAAAACACUGCUGAAGUCUCCAGUCAGUAAUCUGCCCAGAGCCACUUCAGUGGCAAAGGAAAUAAUACCAGACUCCAAGCUUGCUCUACCAGCAGCGAGUAAACAAAGUGUCACUCAGAGAUACGGCCUGCAAACAGGAGCUGGAGGAGUUCCUGCCAUGAGCCGACAUCCAGAAGUGGCACUGAAGUGGAGAAUAAGGGACACACAUGUUUUCCAUGGAAAACAAGCAGAUCUGGUGACAGCAGCCUGACCUGCACACUGCUGCAGCACUUGUGCAGCCUCACUGCCACCACUGCCCACGGGGAGCUCUGGGCAGCCAAAUCCCCGCGGAGACUGGGCAGCUGGCUCCAGGGGCUGAGGGAGCUGGAGAUGAAGGAAGAGCUUCCCUGCGUCCAGACCUGCUGAGAGAAUCCAUUUUCAAGGUCAGCACAAUUCUUUGUUGAUCUGGACUGGAGAUUGCAGAUGUCCGUGACUCAUUUGGGAACUGAAUGGUUAAAGGAAAUCGCAUCCACUCCAGCUGGAUCUUCUCUACGUAAAUGACCCGUUUGGCUUGAUCUGCUAUUGGAUUGUUUACUUAACUUCAGUAAUUAACCACUAUCAGCCUCAUUAAUGAAACAUAAACCA